UACCUCUGGUUGCUUCUUAUUAUUUACAUCAAAAUUUCAAAGUCCGUUGGACAGUUAUUAUGGAAUGAUCCAUCAGCCAACGAUCUGCAUUGCACCUAUCCACCAGCAAUUACAUCUCCACAACACAUUCUCACGGCGUUGAAUGGAAGGUCUCAACGCUACAAAAUGUAUGCUCCAAUGGCUAACAAAACGUAUUACCGAUGGAUGUAUCAUAAGGCUAAGAACACUCCUGCUGCAUCUCAAGCUGACAUAGAUGCACUGAAACCUCGAGUUACAUUUCCCGAUGUAAAUGCAUUCUCUACGAUAUCACAGGGAACGGUGAGCAUAUUCAAUCCACCAACAGCAUUCUACCGACUGUUAUGCAUUCCAAACAAUUGGACAUUCAGUAAUUCGACGUGUCUGGUUAAAAAUGCAAGCAGUGGCUCAGCACCGUUUGGUUUCGGAACAAAUGACCCAGUCAUAUCGACCAUUUUUUGGGCGGAUAGUACAGCUUUUGCGGAAUGGCACUGUUUCGAGGGGGAACGUCAAGUGUUCAAUGUAAUUUCAUUGAAACGUUAUUUGACGAAACCGCAAAUCGAUAGCAUUGUUAGACUGGUUGUGCGGUACGGUUUCAGAACGAAUAACAUUGAAUUUCAAUCGUAUUAUUAGGUCGGCCGGAUGUAAGAUCUGUUGGGGAAGACAUUUGGUUGAGAUUGAUGUGAUACAGUCAUAAAAUAAGUUCAUUUAAAUCAACGAAGGGUUACCUACUCGAGGAAAGUGUGUGUAUAAAUGUUCAGUGGAAAACUUGAGGAAAUGGGCAAAUGGUAGGUGACCCCUUGUAAUUCUUAGAAAUUGAUUCAUAAAUCUUUUACCUCAUUAAUUGUAAUAUAAUAUUGCUCGUACCUUGAAAUGUACAAAAUAAGUAAAUGAUUUGUUCGGCCGGGUCCAGGUUGAAAUUUAUCGCGAACAACAAUUUUAAAACUAAUUUCGCGCGCUUUCAAUCACCAGUUUCUUCGGCAAAUAUUUGAUUUUUCCGUGUCCAAUUUUUGUUCAAAAAUAUUUUCAAAACUGUCCAGCAAAACAGUAGUUUCAACCGUUCCACAAUGCUUUUACCAUUGAAACUAGAGGCAACACUUUCAUUAGCUUUCAACGCAUUUGUCAACAGUAGAAACAUAAACGAGCCAUUAGAACAGUCGGAGCGUUUGCUGCGACUGAGCCCCGUACGAACCCGUAUAUCUAUUGCGUACGUGACCCUAGUGCGU